GAGAUAUUCCACUUGUUACGUUUGAAAUUUAACACCCUGUAUAUAUAUAUAUACAUUUUGGAAUUACAAGUUGUAUUAUUAAUGGUAAUAUUAUAAGGAGUAUAUAUUUGUAAUACAUAAAGGUAUAUAUUAUAAAUAUAUCUAUAAUCUGACAUUACUGUAGGGUACCUUAUAUGUAAUACGUAUUGAAAAUAUUUCAACAUUUCAAAAUUUCUUUGUUUUUUUAUUAUAUAUUGCGACGACCGUCGCUGUGCCUACGGGCCGCCGUGCGCGUAGGCGCGGCGUCGCAAAUCAGAGGUACACGCGAAACCUACGGAAACGAUAAUUAUUCCCGAACAACGGGAUCGUGACGACUCAGAUUUUCCUCGGCAAGUCCUCUCGACCCUCUUUCGCUCGGAAUUCUUUCUCUCUCGAUAUUCUUUCUGUCUCGAUAACUCUCUCUCUCUCUCAACCGCGGAUCUGAGUCUCGGUGUCACGAUCACCGAUACGGCAAACGAUAAAUUGGGCGCCAGGCGCAAUCACUUGCGCCGCUUAUGAAAUCAGCACGCAAAACUAGAUAGCUCGACUAGUCAGCCGUCGUGAGUAGAGUAUUAGAAGGCCGCUGGAAGGAAGGCAGUAAGACACAACGCAAUGGUAUAAAAUAAUAAAUCAUAUGUAUUUCGAGAACUUCCGGGGGUACAGGGAUUCGUCACCCCGAAUCACAUGGACGCCAACAAACGCCAACUCGAGUAACACAAUGACGCAUACGCGAUGCGGUCGUCACCGCACCCUUUCGAAUAGAGGAUACGCGAGUCAGUCUUUUCUUCGCGGGGACUCUCUCGGCACCCGUUCUCGAGAUCCUCCCCGGUGAUUUCCGCGAGGUGCCGCGGUCCGGUUAAGAAACGGCCGUUAUUCUCUCGGCGCGAAAUCCUCUUCCUUCUCACGAUCUCGCCUCAAUCCCGGCUCUGUCUCUCACAGGCGUUACUCGGAAAGUCUCGACCGUAUUCCACUCGGCAGUCGAUACCCCGCUACUAGACUACUCGGCAGCAACGCAGAUCCGUACAUAAACGUAAGAUGCGUGACGAUACUAGGACUCAACAACGUAAUACUCGAAAUCACGGACUUCUCGAUUCCCCGCUCGGCAGUGUACCAUGUACGGCUUGGCAACGCAGUUACGACAAUACAACUACGGCACUAUCACGCGACACACGAUUCCCCGAUUAACAGCUCGGUAACGCAUAUUAAUACAAAGACGACAAUAUGACGCGACAAUUGACUGGAGUUUGCUUUCGAGGUGGAAGUUCUACCCUCCUUAUGCGCGACACCGGGGCGGACGGGCCUCGCCUCUUUUCUUGUUCUCCUCGGCACUACACGAUAGUCGGUUCCCCUUAGGUACGGGGCGAGACAAUUAUUGCGGCGACUGAGCUCAAGGCGCCGUCGUAGCCGGUAUAAUUACAAAGAAUCGCAGAGUGCAAGCUUACAUAAACCUCAUCCUCUGCGUCGUCGCUCGCGGCUCUCUUGCUCUCUGUUUCGGGGCCCUCGUCCAGAUCGCUCCUCCAGCUUCGCCACACUCCAAGUGACGAGUCGCGGGGCGCGUCGCGAGGUCCUUUAACCGUUCGCGCAUCGAUCCGCGCAUCGAUCCACCACCGACUUAUCGCCGAGCCGCCGCAGCCCCUAUCGCCGCUAUCUUUCGCACAGCGGGUGGCCGUUCCUCAGGCACUUCCGUGGAUCGUUUUAGGUUGCUGGCCGCGCCGACCUUCCCCGGUCUCUACUUUUCCUCGCCGAGCUGGCCAGGCCCAAACGAGGGGACUCGAGGUUGUCGCCGAGGGGUUGCGCACCCCCUCCCAGGCGGUCGAGCUUGCUGUGCUCCUUUCCUCGGGUCGGCACGGAAUUCCUUGCUGACGAUCCGCGCCCGCAGCUCCGUUCCUUGCUGCUCGGCAUCUUAAUUCGGCGGUCGGCAGGAUCAUUUCCUUACCCGGCUCGGAACCUCCAACGCUCCCGCGACCCCCAGGCUUCCCUUCUUCGGUCUUUCUCUUCCGCCGGGUUCUUGCUCCGUUGUUGGCUGUCUCGAGGUGUGAGAUACAGUUCUUCCGGAUUGGCUUACACUCUGCGAAAUUCUGAACACUAUUAAUUACGCGCUCACACGCCGCUCGGUAAAGUAUCGCUCCCCCUCAAAUGCGAAAGGAACGAUCCCGACGGAAUAUUUGUGCUUCCCCAAUCCUACCGCCCCUUGUGACGGACGUCUCGAAACGUCACGUCACAAUAUAUUUGAAAAAGGGGUGCAAAAUGUUAAUCCAGGCGAAACGCGAACUAUUUUCGGCACUGUACACACCAUCCGUUAACAUACAAGAAGUUCAUUUGUUUUCCGCCGAUAUCGGCAGGCCUCCUUGUUCUACUCGCGCCAGUCGCAAUUGUGCUACGACCGGACGACCAUGCUGCGGCGAACAUAUAGAAAAGGUAAGAAUUAUAUGUGUGUGUAUGUUGAUAUAUACACACCCAUGAUAUAUAUACACACAUAUAUAUAUAUAUAUAUUAAUAUAUUAUAAUAUUUUUGUUAUUACAGCAAAAAGCGAAGGCGCAACGCAUCCGGAAACGACGACGGCGAUAAUACCACCGCCACCACCAUCGCAACCACCACCGCUGACGGAGCAACAAACAACGACGACGGCGAUGGUACCAUCGCCACCACCGUCGCAAUCACCACCGUCAACGGGGUAACAUACAACGACGACGACGGUGACGAUACCACCGCCGACGAGGCAACAAACAACGGAUCAUCCACCGUCACGGGAUGCAGGAAAAGAAAGAGGAAGAGGGGCGCCCGUAUCGCAUAAACAAGUGAAAAAUAUCAUUCGUCGGGCGCUGCAAGUGGAGAGGAGGAGAAUGGGGUAUACACUACCCCCACCACCGCCGCCUCCCACACCGUAUGCACCGUACGCGCCGCCGCCGCCCACACCGUAUGCACCGUACGCACCGCCGCCGCCCACACCGUAUGCACCGUACCCAUAUCCAUACAGAUAUUAAAAAUUGUCUUUAAAAAUAUGCCUUCUCCAUUCCAUUCUAUAUAAUAAAUAUCAUAUAAAAAAUA